rnacentral:lncRNA from 1 species
CUUAGUUAGAGUUUCUGUUGCUGUGAUGAAACACCAUAACAAAAAGGCAAGUUGGGGAGGAAAGGGUUUGUUUAUUCAGCAUUGCUGUUUAUCACUGAAGGAUGUCAGGACAGGAACUCAAAACAGGGAAGGAUCCCCGAGACAGGAGCUGAUGCAGAGGCCAUAGAGAGAAGCUGCUUAUGGGCUUGCUUCCCCUGGUUUGCUCAGACUACCUUCUUUUAGAACUCUGGACCAAUAGCCUUACACCACACAUCAUGGGCUGGAACCUCUCCCAUUGAUCACUAAAUGAGAAAGUGCCUUACAGCUGGAUUUCAUUGAGGCAUUUCCUCAACUAAGGCUCCUUCUUCUGAUGAUUCUAACUUGUGUCAGGUUGACACAUAAAACCACCUAGUACACAGGGGCUCCCCAUAUCUUUGAGGAUCACACGGAGCACUGUGGCAGAGGGGUCCCUUGCAUUGACUAUCUGGCUUUAUUCUAUUCCUUCCCUGUGUGCCCUGCUCUAUGUAAUCCCUAUACACAAACCCUUGCUUCUGGUGACUCUUUCUCCCUCACUCCCAUUAGUCUAGAACCUUCUCCUUGGCUUUUCUUUCUCCCACUUCAGGCAGUACACUACUAGGCAGUAUAUCUGAUCCAAAGGGCUUGAUAAUGAAGUCUGUGAGCUCUUUCUGGAGGCACUGCAAACCCCACACAGAACCUACCUGGGUACCUUCAUUAGCCAUAGGCCCAGAGUAGAUUUUAACUCUUAGCUUUCCACCAGCAUUUAGUUGCUCACCUUUUGUGGACACGGUGGUACAACCCUUCAAUCCUACCACUUGGGAGGCAGAGUCAGGCAGAUUUUUGAGUUUGAGGAUAGCUUGGUCUACAUACCAAGUUCCAGGCCAUCCAGCGCUAUAGUGAGACCCCGCACCAAAAAAGGAUCUACCCUUGUGGGCUUGAAACCUGAUCCUGUCAGCCUCAAACUAAACACACAAGACUGAUUCAUACAUUCAUGGAACAUGAACACUGUUUGCACUCCCAGGGCAGGAACUGAUGGUGAACUGAUCAAGGACCUUGUUCUGAAUUCUGGACAGUCCUGAACCUAGUUCCUGAGUGCUGGGAGUAAAGGGGAUGGGACCAUCCAAGUUCUAAGAAGCCCCUAGAGAAUAAGCUAGAUCACCAUAGCUAGUCUGAGUUGGGGGCAAGCAAAAUGAAGAGGACCAGAGAAAAGAACACAUUAAUCCAAACUCCAAAGAAAUAAUGCUGCUAAGCGCCAUGGUCCCAGAUGC